CCAAACAAGAGAGAAUUCUCCAGCAGACUGCCUUCAGACUUCAACUGCAGCAUUGGCUGUACCUGGUUUUCCAGCUCACUGUCUUUGGACUUGAACUGCUCCUGAGUCUCCAGCCAAUCAGCCUCCCAGAAAUUGCCACAGUCACCUCAACCUUCAGCAACCACCAACUUGAUCAAUCAGCAGCCAAUAACGUGAAGUCAUGACCAUUCACCAGCAAAAAGUUUAUGAUUCACCAAAAUAUUAGAUGAUCAUUAACAUUUUUAGCAAUAAUGUAUUUGUCAUUAAGGUGUUAGUGCAUUGGAAAAUCAUUUAAAGAAUGUAUCAGCUAAUUGAAGGCUUAUGUGUAAACAAGAUUCCUGCCAGGCUUUGACUACUACCCUUGGCCUUCCUAUACAGGGUUGUAAAGAAUCAUCAUGAUGUAUGUUUGAAAUUAUGUUUAACAGUAUUACAGUCAAUAUAGACUAAAUUUUGAUGCAGUAACAACCUCAGAACUUUUACAAUCAUUGCUGGACUGAGAGAGAAAGAGAGAGUGAACAGGGAAUGUCACAUGAGCAGAGAAUGUCACUAUCUCAACUGUAAAAAACAAACAUUACUUCUACUCACAUUUCAUUGCCCAGAACUAGUCCUAUACCUGUGCCUAACUGGAAAUGAGCACAAACUAUCGUGUCUGUCAUGCUCAAGGAGAGGAAAUUGGUUAUUGGUCAGUGUCAAUAUUGUCCACAAAUGUGAAUUACAUUUUAUAAGGUGUUGACUCUGCCUGUCACCCACAAAAGAGCUUUGAGUACAAUUGGCAAACCGUAUAUGCUAUAUUUUUAAAACAAUAUUUCUCUUCCAUGUGUUAAAUGUAAUAAUUGUUUUAGAUUAUUUAACUUGAUAUAUUACUAAGCUUUUUUUCCCUACUCAAACAAAAAGUACUCUUACAAUCAAAGAAACAUGUUUAUUGUUGUUGUUGAUUUAAUUUUCAAACACAUUUGAAGGACUCAAAACACAACCACUCUUUCAAACCUCAAAUAUCAACUAAGUUAUAAUCAGUAUCUUUUGUAUGGUAAGGCACUAGACCCAGAAUAACAGAAGAAAAACAAUGGAAGAUAAAUUUAAAAGUUAAUGGAAGAAAACAUAAUUAUGGAGAGUUACAACUAUUACAUGUUUACUUUUAAACUGGUAAUUGAUAUCUAAAAUAAGUAAGGGUUUGAUAUGGGAAGAAUAGUAAACGGGAGAUAGGAGCACUAAUUUUAAGACACUUUUUUGACAUCAGUUAGUAAAACAAUUUUGGAAAAAAACAAUGAUCUAUGUUUCUUAAAUCUAAUUAAUUUAUAUUAUUUCAUAUAUAUUUUUUAAAAUGAGCUAUCCUUCAAAAUGCAACCGAUUAGAAUAUUUUACUAUCUUUUCUAUGAAGUUUAAGGUUUAAUAAGCUUUCACUUUAACUUUCUAAUACAAUGGAAUAAUUUCUAUUGUCAUUUUAUUGUGUAAUACUAUUGUAAAGCUUUAAAACAUAAAAAAAUACAAAAACAUAAAAUUUACAUUUUAUAUAAAGAUACAAUUUGUAAAACAAUUUAGAACAUAUUAUUCUAUUACAAUAAAUUAUCCUGCAAACUUUUAGGGUUGUUCUUUGCUUCUAAUAUCCCAUAUGAGAAUUUACUAAUCUUAAGCUGUCAGAUCUUACUUUUCUCACUUCCUUAACCAUAUUUUCUGCCUUCAUCUCACCCUUGCAUUCUCAAGCUUUCUUGACCUAUGGCAAAAUAAAUAUUAAUAUGAAUUCAUAGACAGAUGUAUAUUUAUAGAUCUGUGGAAGAUUAAUAUCUCAUAUCCAUUUUUUGUUGUAUUUAUUUAUGAAUUUAUUUAUUCAUGUGGCCCAGUUUGGCUUUUUGAAAUGAUAGCCUCAUGAAAUGUUUCAUAAUGAUAUCUUUAUUCUGUGACUGGAUUAAAAUUUAUGUUAUUUCUGUAAACUCAGUUUGAAUUACUCCAUCUUUGAUGUCUAUAGUAUGGAAUUAACACAGUGGAGUUUAUGUGCUUCAUGGGACCCUUAAGUGCAAACUUGUAAAAUCUUUCAUUAUUUCAAUAAUUACACAUGAUAAUAAUUUAGAGACAUGAGUGACAUCUAAACUUUGAAAACGGCAUUGUGCUCUUUCUAAAUGUAUUAUGGAGGAUUUCUCUCAUUUUUCUUGUCUUAAUUGUUUAAAUGCAUUUGAGCAAAGUUUCCA
rnacentral:lncRNA from 1 species